ensembl:lncRNA
GAAGAGAGAGAGAUGAGGUGUUGGGAGAAGAGAGGAAGAGAGAGAUGAGGUGUUGGGAGAAGAGAGAAGAGAGAGAUGAGGUGUUGGGAGAAGAGAGAAGAGAGAGAUGAGGUGUUGGGAGAAGAGAGCAGAGAGAGAUGAGGUGUUGGGAGAAGAGAGAGAGAUAAGGUGUUGAGAGAAUAGAGAGAUGAGGUGUUGAGAGAAGAGAGAGAUGAGGUGUUGAGAGAUGAGGUGUUGGGAGAAGAGAGAGAGAUGAGGUUUUGAGAGAAUAGAGAGAUUAGGUGUUGGGAGAAGAGAGAAGAGAGAAGAGAGAGAUGAGGUGUUGAUAGAAGAGAGAGAUGAGGUGUUGGGAGAAGAGAGGAAGA